rnacentral:rRNA from 1 species
CAGCCGCCGCGGUAAAACGGAGGGUGCAAGCGUUAAUCGGAAUUACUGGGCGUAAAGCGCACGCAGGCGGUUUGUUAAGUCAGAUGUGAAAUCCCCGAGCUUAACUUGGGAACUGCAUUCGAAACUGGCAAGCUAGAGUCUUGUAGAGGGGGGUAGAAUUCCAGGUGUAGCGGUGAAAUGCGUAGAGAUCUGGAGGAACACCGGUGGCGAAGGCGGCCCCCUGGACAAAGACUGACGCUCAGGUGCGAAAGCGUGGGGAGCAAACAGGAUUAGAUACCCGCGUAGUCCCUGUCUCUUAUAA